rnacentral:rRNA from 1 species
UACGGGGGGGGCAAGCGUUGUUCGGAAUUACUGGGCGUAAAGGGCUCGUAGGCGGCCAACUAAGUCCGACGUGAAAUCCCCAGGCUUAACCUGGGAACUGCGUCGGAUACUGGUUGGCUUGAAUCCGGGAGAGGGAUGCGGAAUUCCUGGUGUAGCGGUGAAAUGCGUAGAUAUCAGGAGGAACACCGGUGGCGAAGGCGGCUUUCUGGACAGAUACCGACGCUGAGGCACGAAAGCUAGGGGAGCAAACAGG